GCCCCCAUAGCCCAACUGGCAGAGGCAGCGGACUUAAAAUCCGCGCAGUCUGGGUUCGAACCCCAGUGGGGGCACUA
rnacentral:tRNA from 1 species